rnacentral:rRNA from 1 species
AUUGAACGCUGGCGGCAUGCUUUACACAUGCAAGUCGAACGGUAACAGGCCUUCGGGUGCUGACGAGUGGCGAACGGGUGAGUAAUGCAUCGGAACAUACCCAGUCGUGGGGGAUAACGUAGCGAAAGUUACGCUAAUACCGCAUACGUCCUGAGGGAGAAAGCGGGGGAUCGCAAGACCUCGCGCGAUUGGAGUGGCCGAUGUCAGAUUAGCUAGUUGGUGGGGUAAAGGCCCACCAAGGCGACGAUCUGUAGCGGGUCUGAGAGGAUGAUCCGCCACACUGGGACUGAGACACGGCCCAGACUCCUACGGGAGGCAGCAGUGGGGAAUUUUGGACAAUGGGCGCAAGCCUGAUCCAGCCAUGCCGCGUGAGUGAAGAAGGCCUCGGUUGUAAGACACUUCUAGUGGGAAGGAAC